rnacentral:rRNA from 1 species
GAUGAACGCUGGCGGCGUGCCUAAUACAUGCAAGUCGAGCGAACAGACGAGGAGCUUGCUCCUUUGACGUUAGCGGCGGACGGGUGAGUAACACGUAGGUAACCUACCUAUAAGACUGGGAUAACUUCGGGAAACCGGAGCUAAGACCGGAUAAUAUUUCGAACCGCAUGGUUCGAUAGUGAAAGAUGGCUUUGCUAUCACUUAUAGAUGGACCUGCGCCGUAUUAGCUAGUUGGUAAGGUAACGGCUUACCAAGGCAACGAUACGUAGCCGACCUGAGAGGGUGAUCGGCCACACUGGAACUGAGACACGGUCCAGACUCCUACGGGAGGCAGCAGUAGGGAAUCUUCCGCAAUGGGCGAAAGCCUGACGGAGCAACGCCGCGUGAGUGAUGAAGGUCUUCGGAUCGUAAAACUCUGUUAUUAGGGAAGAACAAACGUGUAAGUAACUGUGCACGUCUUGACGGUACCUAAUCAGAAAGCCACGGCUAACUACGUG